ensembl:lncRNA
GGGGGUGCGACCGGUUUUAUAGGACAUUGCACAACGUUAAAACUAUGAAACGUUCUUUCUUCUUUCACAAGAUUGUUAUUGGCAGGAAAUUGCUGUGGUAUAAGAAGAAUGAAACAUGUCACUAGCAAGCUAGCUAACAUUAGCUAACGUAAAGCGUUGUACUGAUGUCAUGUGAUCCAAUUUGAUACUGCCCACAGCUAGCGUGAACAGUGCUACGAUGUUACGGCUAGCCUUUAGAGACGCUCGCACUCGGGCAGAUGCCACACCGCACACUCAGUAUAAAUAGUCAAUAUUUCCUGCAUGUUUGGAAAGCCGUGCCCCGAUGGAGAGCGACGUGUUGUUUCACGGAGACUCUGGGAUUGAUGGGAAGUGACACCGAGCUGACAGUCAGACAUGGGACUUGUUUGUCCUUCGCUGGAAGAUCAGUGUGUGUCUCCCGGCUCCGAACCCCACAGGGAGAAGCCUGAGGUGGGAGUGAGACAGCGAGCUACAAAUGAACAUGCUUGCCUGCGUCAGUCAGAGCAGCAACGACGCACGACACCGCAUUUAUAACGGAAUGCAGAGCUGAGGGAGAACCACGCCGGCUUGGUACAGAGUCCGUCUCGCUCAUCCCAGAACAAUUAUAUAGUUUCUCCUCUAAUGUUACAGAGUGAGGAACGGGCUGAUCCCAGAACAGUUUUAUAGUUUCUCCUCUAAUAUUACAUAUUACGGUGUGACGAACGAACUGAUCCCAGAACAAUAUUAUAGAUUCUCCUCUAAUGUUACAGACUACAGAGCGAGGAACGGGCUGAUCCCAGAACAGUUUUAUAGUUUCUCCUCUAAUGUUAUGGAGUGAGGAACGAUCUGAUCCCAGAGCAGUUUUAUAGUUUCUUCUCUAAUGUUACAGAUUACAGUGAGGAAUGAGCUGAUCCCAGAACAGUUUUAUAGUUUUUCCUCUAAUGUUACAGACUACAGAGCGAGGAACGAGCUGAUCCCCGAACAGUUUUAUAGUUUCUCCUCUAAUAUUACAGAUUACAGUGUGAGGAACGGGCUGAUUCCAGAACAGUUUUAUAGUUUCUCCUCUAAUGUUACAGUGUGAGGAACAGGCUGAUCCCAGAACAGUUUAAUAAUUUCUCCUCUAAUAUUACAGAGUGAGGAACAGGCUGAUCCCAGAACAGUUUAAUAAUUUCUCCUCUAAUGUUACAGUGUGAGGAACAGGCUGAUCCCAGAACAGUUUUAUAGUUUCUCCUAUAAUAUUACAGAUUACAGAGUGAGGAACGGGCUGAUCCCAGAACAGUUUUAUAGUUUCUCCUCUAAUGUUACAGACUACAGAGUUAGGAACGAGCUGAUCCCAGAACAGUUUUAUAGUUUCUCCUCUAAUGUUACAGAUUACAGAGUGAGGAACGGGCUGAUCCCAGAACAGUUUUAUCGUCUCUCCUCUAAUAUUGCAGAUUACAGAAUAACUGUUUGGACAGAGAGAAAGUUAUUAUUUUAUCUGUCUGCCACAGUAUAUUAG